rnacentral:lncRNA from 1 species
GUGGGACAGCGAGGAUCGCAGUGCGCGUGGCCGCGGUGGCUGGUGUGGGGUUGAGUCAGUUGUUAGUUGGGGGGGGGAAGCGACGGUCGUCAGACUGCCCGACCCGCUGGCUGAAGCAGGAAGCGAGCGAGUGGUGAGCCCAGGCUGGUGACUGUGCCUUUCUCGGAGUCCCGGCGCUUCGCCAUCUCUCCUCUCUCCCCCUUCUUCGGCUCCUCCCACUCUCCCUCCUCUGGACAACCCCCCCUCCCCCCCACCCAGGCAAACCGCCGCCUCGGGCGCGCCCCCGCACCCCCUGUGCUGUCUCUCCGAUGGCGGCCGCUGCCGGGGCCAUGGCAAAGCACGAGCAGAUCCUGCUUCUCGACCCGCCCACAGACCUCAAAUUUAAAGGUAGGUAGCGAGGUGGGCCUAGAUGAAGCUAGUGGGGAGAGAGACCGUCAGCUUCCCGCUUCGGGUCCCUUCAUCUUUUUCUUGUUUUUGGUGGGGGUGGAGGGCUUGGCGAGGGGGAAGGAGCGUCGUCCGUCCCUUCUCCCCGUUUUCCAUGUUUCUCUCCCCUUCUCCAGCUCUCUUCUCGCCUUUCUCGGCGUCAGCCUUUCCUCCCUUCUCCCCUCCCCCGCCCGUUCACACUCACACUCAGUUUCACGCGCGCGCACGCCCAGCUUGUGGCGGGGGCUGAUGGGGGGGGGGUGGCAGUGGAGGAGGCCGCGGCCGAGGGAAGGAAAGGCGAGCCGAGCUUGGGGUGCCGGGACCAGGCGCCUUGGCCGCCAUCUUGGGAUCCCGCCGGGAGGCAGCUUCUGGGUCUUGGGUUCCCGGCAGUCCUUUCUUCUCCCUCCUUUGGCUGUCUCCUGCCCUGACAUUCCUUCUCUGCCCCUCGGGACUCGUUGGGGUUUUUCCGGGACGGGCGGGGGAGGCGGCUCCGCAGAGUGUGCGCCGGGGGGCUCCUGCUGGGUCCGGGGGUGGCUCAGUCAGGCUCCCGCGGGCGCGGGCUCCAGGCAGUUCUUCUGGAGCCUCCGGGACUCGCUCGGCCUCCUCGGAGCUCGGCGGAGCCCCUGGUCCUCCAGGUUUUGGGGUCCGCUGUUUGUCGGGCUGGUAACUGCCUGUGAGGCCGACCUACGCUGCUUGCCUGAACCAUUCCCUCGGAGGAGCCUCCUGGGACGAGGGGGAGAGAUGCUCGUUAUCCCGGUUAUGGUGGUAGAGAGCCGAGCGAAUCUCUCAGCGCUUGGGGAGAGGCUUUGGUGUGGAUGAUUCUUGACCUCUUGCCCCUUCACAGAUGUAGUCACUACAAAUCUUAAACUUCGAAACCCAUCAGACAGAAAAGUAUGUUUCAAAGUGAAGACAACAGCACCUCGUCGGUACUGUGUGAGACCGAACAGUGGAAUUAUUGAUCCAGGGUCAACUGUAACUGUUUCAGUAAUGCUACAGCCUUUUGACUACGAUCCAAAUGAGAAGAGUAAACACAAGUUUAUGGUACAGACGAUUUUUGCACCAUCAAACACUUCAGAUAUGGAGGCUGUGUGGAAAGAAGCAAAACCUGAUGAACUCAUGGAUUCCAAAUUGAGAUGUGUAUUUGAAAUGCCCAAUGAAAAUGAUAAAUUGUCACUCCCUUAUAUCAUGCAAGAAAAAUCUGAUGCGUUUGAUGCCAGUCUGAGAGUGUGUUUCCCAUGCCACCUCAGGGUAUAUCUACACCAGGGACCGGUUUCACUACUCCAGUCAGCAUCAUCACCUCAGUUGCAACACCUGCCAAUUAUAGCCUGAAGACUGACCCCAGGGCAUCACACAGUAUGUUCAAACAGCAAAAGCCUAAGAUUGAUAUGGAACCUAGCAAAGCUCUUCCACUGAAUGCAUCUAAACAAGAUGGACCCAUGCCAAAACCACAUAGUGUUUCACUCAAUGAUACUGAAACAAGGAAACUAGUGGAAGAGUGUAAAAGACUUCAGGGAGAAAUGAUGAAAUUAUCAGAAGAAAAUCGACACCUGAGAGAUGAAGGUUUAAGGCUCAGAAAGGUAGCACAUGCGGAUAAAGCUGGAUCAAGCUCAGCCAUGUCUUUCAGAGAGAAUGUCACCAGUCCUCUUCCUUCACUUCUUGUUGUAAUUGCAGCCAUUUUCAUUGGAUUCUUUCUAGGCAAAUUCAUCUUGUAGAGUGAAGCAUGCAGAGUGCUGUUUCCUUUUUUUUUCUUGACCAGAAAAAGAUUUGUUUACCUACCAUUUCAUUGGUAGUAUGGCCCACAGUGACCAUUUUUUUUUGUGUACAGCGUCAUGAUAGGCUUUGCCUUUAAUGAUCUCUCACGGUUAGAAAACACAAUAAAAACAAACUGUUCGGCUACUGGACAAAUUGUAUAUUAUAUCAGAUCAUCAAUAGCAGGUGUCAGUUGCACAUUCAGUCCUUUAUGAAAUUCAUAAAUAAAGAAUUGUUCUUUGUGGUUUUAAUAAGAGUUCAAGAAUUGUUCAGAGUCUUGUAAAUGUUAUUUUAAUAAUCCCUUUAAAUUUUAUCUGUUGCUGUUACCUCUUGAAAUAUGAUUUAUUUAGAUUGCUAAUCCCACUCAUUCAGGAAUAUGCCAAGAGGUAUUCUGUGGGGAAAUGGUGCCUCUUACAGUGUAAAUUUUCUCCUUUACCUUUGCUAAUAUCAUGGCAGAAUUUUUCUUAUCCCUUGUGAGGCAGUUGUUGACUUGAGUUUUUCAUCCUUACAAUCCUGUCCCAUGGUAUUUAACAUAAAAAAAAUAAAACUGUUAACAGAUUCUUGCUGGGUAGCCUGUUUGUGUCUCUUAUAUCAUUAGAAGGGGAUACCUAAGAAGUGUUUUGUGUAUAAUAAUUUGAGACUAAUAAUGCAUUCUCUCAACACUCAACCCCAUGUAUUUGACUUAUUCUGAUAUUUGUAAUUAAAUCUGGAAGGAAAAAAAAACACAAAAUGAAAUCUGUUCUUAGAAGGAAAAAUGAUGAAUUUUGAUGCUGCUUUUAGUAUUAUGGAUGAUGAUAAUCAAAAAUAUCUUCACCAUGAUCAUUUGAAACACACAAAAAACUAUAGGGAUUAAAGCAUUUUAAUUAUAGUAAAAUUGCAUAUGUUUAAAUGUCUAUUGCAUUGAAUGUACCACUGUCCUAUCAGUUUUUUUUUUUUUUUUUUUUUUGGUGUCUUCCUGAAGGAGACUAAUUCUCCUUAAUUCUAAUCAAGUACUUUUAAACCAAGAUAAUUAUUUUUAUCAAAUUUAUAACUUAUUUUAAAAUAUUAAACUAGGUGUAUUUUUUCCCCCAGUUUUACAUACAAAAUAAAUUUCCACAAUGGAAAGUUGAUGUUACUGAGCAAGUCUUAAAUAUUCCUGAAAAAUGAUUUAACUACUCUUUGCAAAAUUUAUUUGUUAACCGUGUAAACCAUUUUCAAUUUAAGAAUGCAUUUAGGGGUCUGUUACUUUUCUGCACCUAGUCUUGCUUCAUUUCAUUUAUACUAAUUGUAGGUAAUAAUAGAAUAAGAGAACAGUGAUUGGAUAUAAAUGUAAGGUAGCAUAUUUGAAUCUUAAUAAAUGAAUAUGUGUGUGCUUUUUAAAAAUGUGUCUAAGUGAAAAUGAAGCAUAUUAGUCUUCCUGGCCUGUGGGACUUGAUGUGGUGCAGUGAAGUGUAUCAGAUCCGGUUCUAAAUGCACAUUUUAUAAGUUAUGAAAUGUUUUAGAGAAAACAAUAUUUUGGUUGAUUUCUAGUUUUCUUCAAUGGACAGAUCCACAUGUAUCAUGUUAUUGCUGUCUCUGGUAACUUCUUGCCUGUGUACAAAGACAUCUAUGAAACAUAUGAGUAAUGCUUACCUUUUGCCAUUAGCAUGCAACCACACAAGAUCCUUCCAUGGUGUAUGCUCUAUUGUCUUUGUAGAAGUUUCCUCCCAUUCUUAUAACUGGAAAAGCAUGCUUACGAGGCUUACAUUUUCUUUACGUAAAUUUGAAAACAUAAUCCCUUGGCCUAAAGUUCUGUUUUUAACUUUAAAUUGAUGACAAACUCCCCCUUAAAAGUUAAUGUCACAAAGAAUGCAGUGAAACUUUGUAGGUUAUGGAAGAGAAUUAUAAAUCUUUGAAGAGAGCAUUGAAAUAAUUUAAAUCCCUUCAUUUUAUAGAUGGGACAACUAAGCCCAGGGGAGGUAGUUACCUAAGUCCAAGGUCAGACAAAUUAGAUCCCCUAGAAGAAAGGUGGAUUCUGUGUCAAAAGACUGAGAUCUCCCAAUUCCUAGGCUAGUGCUGUUUCCAAUACUUUAGUAAACAGUGAUUUCAUCACAAUGGGAGAGAAGAACUAAAAUAAUUAGUGUGAGAUUCUAUUUUAAUGGGUAUAUGUGUAAUUUCAUAUUAAUGGUGGGAUUGUAUUACAGAUAUUUUUGUUUAAUAGAUAUAGGUUUGACCUCAAUGCUUAAGUUUUAGGAAUGGCCAUAUGACAUGGUAUCAAAACUUAUGAAAUUGAAUCUAUUUUUAAAUGGCUAUUAUACAAGAUUGAAUACAUAGGGGGUGAUCAUGCACUAUUAUGUGGUUUAGGAAGCAUCAACAAAAUAAAUGUGCACGUAGGCAUUUUAACCCAGUCUAUAUACCACAAGGUGCUUUAAUAAUGUUGGGGGAGGGUGAGGCUGUGACUUGGUUUCUAGUAAACGCUUUCAUAGCUGUAUAAAAUGUAAUGCUCAUUUAUUUUGCUAUCAGGAGUCACCUUGAAAAAGUCCAACUGUUUAGUAAAUAAGAGAAUAUGGAUUAAAUUGUUUGUCUUUGUUCCAUACAUGUUUAGUUUUUUUUUUUUUUUGUUUUUUUUUUUUGCUUUGCCUGCUUACUUGUGUAUGUAAGCAUGGGGAAAUACAUCAUUACUAAUAGUUAGACUUACAACCAAGUGACUUAAGGCCUUAAGUUCAUGUUAUGCUAAAUGCACUACUUUCAUUCUUUCUAAAACUAAUGUACCCUAAUUUUGCCCAUUUUCUUGUAUUUACAAGAAACAUAUGAUUUGUAUUCUGAGUGUAUAGUAUGUUUUAAAAGUUUUUUAAAGAUGAAAUGGCACUUAGGAAAAAAUGUAGUAUAAAAGAUUCAGAAAUCCUGGAAAAUGAAAAAUAUAUUCUUAAUCCCUGAAGUAGUUUAGAUCAGUAUUUACCUUGUGAUUAAAAUUGGUAUUAUCUGUUGAAGGGGCUGUUUUAGAAUGUGAUCUUUCAAAAUGUGCCACUUAGAAAAAAGUUUUUGACAAGACAAAAAUAUUCUUGUGGAAUACAUUGCAAAAUUGUACUCAUCACUUUUAAAUGCUUUCAGUUAAUAGUAUGCCCAGAGCUUUUCACACCUAUUAAGUGAUCUUGGUGUGUGCAGUUAAAAAAAAAAAAUAAUUUGCCCUUUGUCAGAAUUAUAGGUAGAGAUAAAUGCUUAUAACAGAUGGAAAGCAACAAAAUAAGUAGGUAAUGAAUCUUUAUUUUCUAGCUUCCGGGGGGUGGGGUGGGUAUCAAACAACUGAGUGAGAAUAAAUAAACUAUUAAAAAUAGUGGUGGAGUCUCAUUUUCCUUUUUUAAAGAAAAAAAUUAAACAAAACCUGAUUAUUUACUGCUUCUAAAGAUGCUUGAUUAGUUGCAUUCCUGAAAAAUAAAGCUUAUGGUCCAAACUAUUGUUUAUAAUUUUCUAGUGAGAAAGCCAUUUGUGUGUGGGGGAGGGCAAGAAGAGAAUGGAUUUUAAAGAAGGGAAUGGAGAAGAAAAAUAUUUCUCUAAUUCUACCUCUAGUAAUAAACCUAAGAAAAAAUUUUUUUUUAAUCUCAGAAAAUCUUUCUGAGAAUAUUUUACUACUCUAGUGACCUGAAUUUUGAGGUGGCUUAGUCUCUUUCUGAAGGUAGUGUGAUUGUUGACCAGACAAGAGAAUUCUUGGAAUUUGGGGGGGGGGGGUAAAAAAAAAAUGAAGUUAUUAUUAUUAUUUUUUUUAUUGAGACAUUUUAAAUUCCCAAAGGUAGUGUGAUGAUACUUGGCUGGAGAAGAGGUUUCUUGCUAUUUAGGGGCAAAAAAUAAAGUUAAUAUUAAGACCCUUUUUACAUUGUCAAUGACAAACUUAAAAUGAUAAAAAUUAAGAAUAAUAUAAUUGACUAACAAGUAACUAAGUGCACCUUUUAAAGUUAUUUAAGAUAGAUAUUUGAGAUUUUACUCCUCACAGUGAUGACAGCACAAGUUAUGUAUAAUAGUAAACAUAGCUUUGGAGUUGGGAAGACCCGAGUUGAAAACCUAAUGAUACUGAGUGACUGGGAGUAAGUCUUACUUUUAGUCUCCCAGGUAAUUUAUGUAGUCUUUUGCAGAUUUGGCUUGUUAAAGAGUUUGUUCAUCAGUUCCUUAUAGCAGUAAAUUCUCAGAUCUACCAUACUACUCCUCUUUCACACUACGUCUACCCAUAAAACUUUGCUUCCUACACCCUGCUGUAUUUUUAGGAGUUUUUUUUUUCCUUAAAAAUCAAAUCUUGUAAGAAAUUAAGGAUUAUUUACUUUUGUAAUAGCAGUUUUGUUUAAAUUGAUGAUUUGUAUUUCUAAUGUAUAGGAAGAAGGGUGGUUUAUAAUGAAAGUAUUUGGAAAUAAAUGCAUUUUAGAGUUUGUACUUAAGAAAAUCAUUAAGUACUAUUUUUUACCGUCAUCUUUAUGUAAUGUACAAGCAGACCAAAUUGAUUUCCAGAGUCUAUUUUAUUUCAUGUUAUUUCUUUCCCCUACUUGUAUAUUUUUCAAAACCUGGUACUUAAGAUUUUAAAGGUAAGCCUCAGCAUGUUGGAUUUUGUUAAAAUGAGUCUCUUCCCCCCCUUCCCCAUUGUAAUUUCAAAUUAAUCUUCACCUUUGUAGCAAAAGUUACCAUGUUUUUCUAAUACUUUUAGGUUCCAAACUAAAAGUAGGAAUAAUUCCCUCUUUAUGAGAACACUGGGGCCUAAUUUUCACUCAUAUUUGUCCAUUGGCUCCUUCCCCCUCUUUAAAAUUGUCAAUAAAUUAUCAUCCUGAAGAAAAAGCUCAAAGUAAAAGUGCAUAUUGUCAUGAAGUACCAUAAUGUGGUAUCAAAGAAUGAGAUUUCUGGAAUUAUUUUUAAGAAAUAGAGGAAGAAAAAAUUGGAUUGGAAUCUAAUCCAGAGUUGUCAGACAUGAUGCACAUAAUGCUGUGAACACUCCUGACCUAGGUUAAAAUCUAGUUCCUAAUAGAUUUUAAUGAAAUGUGUGUGUAAAAUUUUUUUAAAGUCACUAUGUAUCCUGCAGAAAUCUUUGUGGUUUAGUGGCAUCUUUGUAUUUUGAGUUCUACAUCACUGGAUUGGGUAACCUUCUGAGGGUGGUUCUUAAUAAAGUUGUGAUUUCAUGAUUAUUUGAAGUAAUUCACCUCCCCCUUAGAAUUAGUGCCUACAGUGGCCUAAAAAAUGCACUGAGAAGUGACUUUGAGUAAUUGCUUAUGAAGGACUUUUAAAGUUUACACACUAUUUAGUGCAACAGUGCUAUAUGAAGUCAUUAUCCUUGUUUUGUACUUGAAACGAAAAAUCAAAUGGUAGAUGGCAGAAGCAGGAAUGACCUUUUCCCCCUUAUUUCCAUUUAGUUAGAAAUCAUUAAGGACACUACAAACUUUAUUUUUUAAAAAAUUUUUAAAUUUAUAGCUUUUUAUUUACAAGAUACAUGCAUGGGUUAUUUUUCAGCAUUGACAUUUGCAAAACCUUUUGUUCCAAUUUUUCCCCUCCUUGCCUCCACCCCUUUCUCCAGAUGCCAGGUAGACUAAUACAUGUUAAUUAUGUUAAAGUAUGUUAAAUACAAUAUAUGUAUACAUGUCCAUACAGUUGUUUUGCUGAGAAGAAUUGGACUUUGAACUAAUGUACAAUUAACCUGUGAAGGAAAUAAUGCAGACGGACAAAAAUAGAGGGAUUGGGAAUUCUAUGUAGUGGUUCACACUCAUUUCCCAGAGUUUUUUCGCUAGGUGUGGCUAUUAUUGAACAAAUGGAACUGAUUUGGUUCAUCUCGUUGAAGAGAGCCACAUCCAUCAGAAUUGAUCAUGAUAUAGUAUUGUUGUUGAAGUAUAUAAUGAUCUCUUGGUCCUGCUCAUUUCACUUAGCAUCAGUUCAUAUAAGUCCAGGCCCUUUUGAAAUCAUCCUGGUCAUUUCUUAUAGAACAAUAAUAAUCCAUAACAUUCAUAUAUCACAAUUUAUUCAGCCUUUCUCCAAUUGAUGGGCAUCUACUGAAUUUCCAGUUUCUGGCCACUACAAAGAGGGCUGCCAUAAACAUCCUUGCUCAUAUAGGUCCCUUUCCCUUGAAGAUCUCUUUGGGAUAUAAGCCCAGUAACACUGCUGGAUCAAAGGGUAUGCACAGUUUGAUAAAUUUGAACUUAGUUCCAAAUUGCUCUCCAGAAUGGCUGGAUGAAUUCCACCACCAAUGUAUCGAAGGACACUACAAACUAGGCAAUACUAUUUAGACAGGUGAAACAUGACUAUUAAGUAGAGUAUACAUGUAUAUGUAUUUGUCCAUAUGUGUAUAUACACACAGUUUUAGGAAAAAGUGUUAUUGAUUUGGGGAGUCAGAAAAGGCCGCCUACUAGAUAGCUAACUAAGUCUUGAAAGUGUAUUGGGAUUUUAAGAGACAGGUAGAGGGGACAGCCUAAGGAGCUAGAAAUGUCAUAUGAGGAUCAGCAAGUAGACCAAGUUGGCUAGAAUAUAGAGUAUAAAAGAUGUGUUAGAUUAAGAUGGGUUUUAAAUGCCAACUAGAGGAAUUUGUAUUUUAUCUUUGAGGUAAUAGAGAAAAGCUCAAGCUUUUUAAAGUGACUGAUGCUUUGGAGUUACUUUGUCAGUCCUGAAUAGUAUAGGUAUGAAAGAGUAAUUAAACCCUUAAUAACUGUGUACUCAUGAAUUGUUGAAUAAGUGAUCUGAAUUAAAGUGAGCAUAAUGUGACAUUCAGUGAUGGAUGAAAAAUGAUGUAGACUACAGUUUGAGAGGAUGAGAAGAAUAGAUGACUACCAAGUUACUUUGGUUAAGUGCUUUUGACAGACAUGAGAUGAGUAGGUUCAGAGAGGAACAGUUCUUUCUUUGUACAUACUGAAUUUGAGCUGCCAUCUCGAUGUAGAUUUCCAGCAGGCAUUUGGAGAUUUGGGACAGAAGCUCAGGAGAGAAGAGCGGGCUACAUAUGUAGAUUUCGAUCACCUGCAUGGAACCCAUGAGAGCUGAUGAGGUCACUAAGUGUAGAAUUAAUAUCCAGGUGGGAGCCCUGAGCCCAUAGAGGAGCAGGGGUCAGAACAUGGAUCAUAGAACUGUUUGCUGAAAACCCAAAUAUACUAACUUAAACAUGGCAGAAAAGUCAAAGAAAGCUGAGAAAAGAUUAUUGGAUUUAACAAGAUACUUGUCUGUCUUAUCUCCCUCACCCUUUCCUAUUUUAUUAAAAGAACAUCAAGAUCCUCUAUUCUGAAAUGAUGUAAUUCCAUAGUGAGUGUUUUUAAUUGGUUCUAAAAUGGUGCUAUUAUAGGAUGAUUUAAUUUCUGUCUGCUUGAGAGAAUGGGAAGGAGCAUUCAACUUAACUUCUUCAAAGUUAAAUUCUCAACUUGAAACAGGAAGUUAGAUUAGCCAAGUAGCAUCAUGCUUACAUAGUAAAGAAUCUCAAAACAUGCUGUCUCUUGAAGUUAAUCAUGUAAGAAAACAUUGAAUUUGUUUUUGCACAAUUAAAAAGAUUGCUAAGUAAAUGGAAUAUUAUAAAAACAGGAGAAUGUCGUUAAGAAAACACUGCUUCCCUUUCUGCCCUCCUUCCCUUUGUCUGAUCUUUUGUGUACAACUGAUAUCACUUACGAUAUCACUAGUAGAUCUUUGAUGAGUUUCUAACAGGCAAUCCUUGUUUUUCCUCAAUUCUAGUUACUAGGUAACACUGGAUCUGUGAUUUUGUUAUUACAGGAAGCAUUUAUCUCAGCAUUACUUUGACUUUGAAGAUGAGAUGGAACAGUAAUCCAUACUGUUCAUAAAAGGUCACAAUAUCUCAUGAUCUUAUAAACAUUAUCAGAACAAAGGCGAUUUGCAAUAACCCACUUAAUUUCAUUAGUACUCAUGAAUGCACAAGGCAAGGUGAUAUGUGUUUUCUGAAGCAGGAUCUCAAACAAGAAGGGACAGAAUUCAUCUACUUUGAGCCAUUUAUUUUACCGAAGUGGAAGCUGAGGUGUUUCAGUCUACUUAAAUGGCUUUCCAAAGGUUAUCAAGUAAAUGCAGAAUCUAGACUCCUUUUGACUUAAUGUGUACCUCUCUCCAUCACAUUGUUAACUUCAUAACAAAGAGAAAAAUGAUUUUGACUAUCUUGUUUUAACAUACAUUUUCUAAAAUGUUUUAACAUACGUUUUCUAAACAUACAUUUUCUAAAAACGAAAACCUAGCAAAAUUAACCAACAUCAAAUCCUGACCAACACAGUGUCCUACACAGGUUAGUCCCCCUCCCCUGCAAAAGGCUGAAAGGAAUCUCACACACAUACACACGUACACACACACAUCCCAACAACUCAGUGAAUGUAUACUUUUAUUGUUCGGUUGUGUCCAUCCCUAUGGGCUAUACUAUCCAUAGUUUUCUUGGCAAAGAUACUGGGUAGUUUGUCAUUCCCUUCUCUAGUGAAUUAAGGCAAUAUUUAAGAUAUUGAAGAUGUAGGCACAGAUGUUAUGAAGAUCAAAGGAGAUAAAAUAUUUUACAAACCUUAAAGCUUUAAAUAAUUGAUAUUAGCUUACUGUUAUUCUCAUGAUGACUACAUUCCUUCUGAGCUUGAGCAAUGUUUGUAGAGCAAUGCAGGAGUGUGCUGGUAAAUAGCAAUCUGGCUCUCUGGAAGAAAAAAAUGCAUCAUUUUAUCUGCAUUAUCAACAUUUUCUUAAGUCUAAAGACUCACCAAAACAAAUCACUUGUAACACUUGACUUUCAAGAUCCUGAUAGACCCCUGGAUGGAGAGAUCUCUUAGAAUUUUAGUGGAAUAUUUUUCAUACUAUAAUUGUAUUUUCAUUUUAAAUCCAAACAGUGCCAGUUGAUAAAGAAUAAACCUAUUUAAGAAUUCUUUUAUUGCUUUUUUAAGGUAUUGUUUUCAGUUGUGUGUUACCUGAUCACAUCUCUUUGUGUAUGAUACUUCAUAAUACCAUCACAUUGCCUAUAUUGAUUUUGUUCAAAUUAUUAGGCUUUAAAAGAAAUUCUUUUCUCUCUAUCAAACUGCUUUCCAAUGGAAAACUAACCAGGGAAAUUAGAACAGGAGGAGUGCCUAUUUUGAAAACAGAGAAUGGAGAAUGUCCCAAACUCAGGUGAUAACUGCUUGAGAUUGAAGAGAUUUGAGAGAUUAUUGUAUUGUUUCACAUACUUGUUUUUCAGAUGACAAAACAGUGCCUGACAGGUUAUGACUUGCUCAGAGUCACAAAGCUAAUGAAUAUCAGAACUGUCAAUUCUCAGUAGGGCAUCACAGUUAGGAAUCUAAUGUUCAGUCUCUAAGGCAUCUAAAGAUUAGUUAGUCUAAUUCUAUAAAUCAGUAAUGAAGUCUCCAAAUUCACACAGGUUGUGAUAGAAGUGGGCUUUGAAUGUAGGCCCUUUAAUUCCAUUUUUGAUGCCCUCUCUACUACACCAUUAAUGAUUCAUUCUAUGAACUUAACUAUAGAGUUAGGAAACAGAUUUGAACUUUAUCUCAUUGCAGAAAGCUGAUUUUUAGAUAACCCCCUGAUAUGAAUUUUUUCCCCUCUCAAAUGGCCUUUUUAUAAAAGCAGGAAGAAGAAUGGAGGAAAGAAAUGCCCAAUUUUCAAAGGUUCCACUUAAUUGAAUUCAGACGGUACAUUUUGUUUUUCUUUCCUUUUAUUCAGAAUGUUUUUGAAUAGUAUUAUAUAUAAAAAAUACAAUUUUCAGGAAGCCUACUUGGACACAAUUCUCUUAGACUUGGUUCAGUGACAGAUGGUAAUGCACUCUGUUUUAUAACACACUUUAGGGAAGACUAGGUAAGUGAGAAGUUGGGUAGUUUAUAAGAUCAUGCUGAAGUAGGAGGCUGAAUUUGGAGUUAUAGAACUUGAAGAGGGAACCCCAAAACUCUGAAAAUCCUUAAAGGAGAAAAUCUCCUUCAACUCUGCCUCACUGAGGGGACUCCACCUGAAGCACAAACAGUUUCAUCUUUCUUAUCUGAGUGGGGUUGGCUCUGUCCCGAGACCCAUUGAAUUCAAUUCAAAUUCUUGCCCUAGCUGAAACCCAUCGAGGAGUCAACCUGGGACUCUACCCACAAGCCCCCUUCAGCUUGUAGCCAAAUCCCCUAUUGUAAAAGAGCCAAACUAAAAUCCUCUCUUUGCAAAGGUUCCAAACAUGCCAGCCCUAUGUUUGGCACACCAAGAAUUGCUGCCCAAUGGAAUACUGUUUCCAGUGCUAUCCUCUCUUUUCCCUCACCUA